rnacentral:rRNA from 1 species
AUUGAACGCUGGCGGCAGGCCUAACACAUGCAAGUCGAACGAGUGGCGGACGGGUGAGUAAUGUAUGGGAAAAUGACUGAUGGAGGGGGAUAACUACUGGAAACGGUAGCUAAUACCACAUACCAUCGGAUGUGCCCAGGGGGGUUUAGCUAGUAGGUGGGGUAACGGCUCACCUAGGCGACGGUCCCUAACUGGUCUGAGAGGAUGACCAGGCAAACUGGAACGGUGACACGGUCCAGACUCCUACGGGAGGCAGCAGUGGGGAAUAGUGCACAAGGGGCGCAAGCCUGAUGCAGCCAUGCCGCGUGUAUGAAGAAGGCCUUCGGGUUGUAAAGUACGUUCAGCGGGGAGGCGUUACCCGCAGAAGAAGCACCGGCUAACUCCGUGCCAGCCGCCGCGGUAAUAC